CUUUACUCUUGAGACUUCCCGAUCAACCUCAAACCUGCAACACUGGGGUUAGGGGAGAGGGGUGAGCUAAAAAGCCCAGUAAGUAGAAACAAAGAAAACAGUUCAUUAAUUACAUGCUUUCAUAAAAUGCAUCACAGCACAAACAAAUCAUAUCACGGAUUGGACCCAACCCCAAAACAUCCCUAAGCUAUUUGCCCGGCCACCAUAGAGGGCACCACAGGACUUCGUAAUGCCUGGCCCAGCCAGGUCUUAUCCAUAGGGCUAGUGGGGUCGUCCUUGGUCCAAUCUUCAUCAACAGUAAAUAAUGCAAUGCUUCAUAUUCGUGUAACUAGUGCAAUCAACCUAUUACAUAUAAACAUGAUGCAUGAGCAUGCUUUAGGCAUUUGAUUUCAUAAAAUAAAGAUUAAGUUUAGUUCUACUCACCUCUGGCAGACGCUGGACUAACUCUGCAACAGCUAACACUGAUGGCCUCCUCGAUCCCUCGGGUCCGGUCCUACACAGGUGGACUCGAAUGAGGUGCCAACACACUCUAAACAACUCAUAAACAACUCCCCAAAAACCCUCUAAAACAUCACUUAAACAUGCAUAGAAAAC
rnacentral:lncRNA from 1 species